rnacentral:rRNA from 1 species
GAUGAACGCUGGCGGCGUGCCUAAUACAUGCAAGUAGAACGCUGAAGGAAGGAGCUUGCUCUUUCCGGAUGAGUUGCGAACGGGUGAGUAACGCGUAGGUAACCUGCCUGGUAGCGGGGGAUAACUAUUGGAAACGAUAGCUAAUACCGCAUAACAGUAGAUGUUGCAUGAUAUCUACUUAAAAGGUGCAAUUGCACCACUUCCAGAUGGACCUGCGUUGUAUUAGCUAGUUGGUGAGGUAACGGCUCACCAAGGCGACGAUACAUAGCCGACCUGAGAGGGUGAUCGGCCACACUGGGACUGAGACACGGCCCAGACUCCUACGGGAGGCAGCAGUAGGGAAUCUUCGGCAAUGGACGGAAGUCUGACCGAGCAACGCCGCGUGAGUGAAGAAGGUUUUCGGAUCGUAAAGCUCUGUUGUAAGAGAAGAACGAGUGUGAGAGUGGAAAGUUCACACUGUGACGGUAUCUUACCAGAAAGGGACGGCUAACUACGUG